AAAUAAUGUAAAACUAACAGCCCCCGAAAAUAAAAGAUCUAGAAAUAUACUAUCAUUUUGAGUUAUUACAAAAUACUGUCGCAUUAGGUAUCUAAAAAUAUAUUUCUAGGGGUGAAAGACCUUCACUUUUAUUGAUAUCUGGACGAAUAUUAAAUAAAUUUAGUUUAAUAUAUAGUUAUAAUGUUAUAAGAUAUUGUAAGCGGAAAUUGUUAUGUAUAUACACUUAAGUCAUUAACUACUACUUAACGACAUUAACUUUGUUGAUAAUAUGCCUACAUUUAAAAUUCCAUAGUAAUAUUUUACUUUAAUAAAGUUACGUUAAAAUAAAUAAUGUAUAAAUUAGUAGAUAUAAUAAAUUUAAAUGAAGGAAUUCGGCAAAUAUUUUAUACGACUGUUUAUCAAAAACAUAGCCAGUAGAUUUGAAAUUACUGGUGCGACCUGCCCAGUGAGAUUUUAACGGCCGCAGUACCCUGACUGUGCAAAGGUAGCAUAAUCAUUUGGCUUUUAAUUGAAGUCUCGUAUGAAAGGAAAAACGUAUAAAGACUGUCUCCAGAAAUAAAUCUAUUAAAGUUGUUCUAUAAGGUGAAAAUACCUUAAAUAAUAAAAAUAGACGAGAAGACCCUUAGAAUUUUAAUAAGACCAAAACCAUAUGUGGGGUAAUUUUUGUUGGGGCAACAUUUUUUCAUAAAAUAAAAAAUACCCGUUAAAUAUAUAACGAAUGAGUAUAAUAAAGUAAAAAUUACCUAAGGGAUAACAGCAUAAUUUUAAGUGAAGAUUGUGACCUCGAUGUUGGACUAGGAACUAUUAAGGCUAAUCGUUUUAAUAUAAUAGGUUCUGUUCGAACUUUGCUUCCUA
rnacentral:rRNA from 1 species